GCGAUGAACCAUGCUGCCGCGGGGCGGCGUUUUUGCGGGCUUGCCUGCCGGGCGCCGCCUUGAGGAAAGUCCGGGCUCCGCAGGGCGUGAUGCCGGGUAAUCCCCGGGCGGGGAGGGCGAAAGCCCUUUCCGACAGAGAGCGCAACAGAAAAUAUACAGCCCCCGGGGGCCGUUCUGUAUGGGGCGGUUCCCGGGGGUAAUGGUGAAAAGGCAGGGUAAGAGCCUACCGCGGGAUUGGCGACAAUUCCGGCACGGCAAGCCUCAUCAGGAGCAAAGUCAAGCAGCGGCAGAACGGCCCGUUUAAUGCCGCGGGUAGACUGCAUGGAUGCUUUCCGCAAGGAACGGCACAAGAUAGAUGGCAGCGUUAUACUGAACCCGGCUUAUGGUUCAUCGCUUUU
rnacentral:RNase_P_RNA from 1 species